AUCACUUCCCAGCCUUCUGGCUAAGACGAAAUGUACUAUCUGUUCUUAUUAGUGUAACAAUAGACUUUCUCAGAGGGGCAAUUACAAUUAAUUAGAAUCGUAAAAUCAUGCAUGGUUGGUCUCCUGUCCAGCUGCUGCCAGUCUGGACAGUUUAUGU
rnacentral:snRNA from 1 species